UAAAAGGAGACGGGGACUUCUGGGCCCAAGUUGUAAUAGGUUGAAAGAUAGCUUAAAAAAUCCGUUAUUUUUUUCUACUAAAUCAUUUAAAAAAUCAGCUCAAUUCACAAUCUGGAAGAUGAGAAAUGUAAAAAAUAAGAUAAGAUCAAAAAUAAAAUAGUGACAUGACACUGACAGCAGUCCCGGCGACCGGCGUAUGCGUUUAAAAAACUUUAUUUACACGUUUGACUUUGGUUGGCUCCUUAGUUUGGAUUUAUUUGCCGGCUUAUCGAUUGGAAAUCGACAUCAUGGAUCUUUGUGUGAACUGUGGCAUAGAAAAGAAAAAGGAAAAAGCAACUACUAGUUGUAAUACCACAGGCAGACGAGUCUUGAAUGACGAAAUGAUUCUCUUAGUGAUUCGUCGAUGGCGUACACCGCAGCCUGUAAACAACAGUGACUAUAUUUGCUAAGCUUGCUGGAACAAACAUCAGCUAUUGAUCAACCAAGACAAUUUGGCCACCGUAAUGUUUGCCUCCGCUGUGGUCGCUCUGUUGCAUCACAAGUCACUCAUCUGCUUCAUACAGGCACAUCUUGUGAACUGAGAAUUUAUAAUGCCAUAGAAGAAUGUAUUAUGCCUCAAACUAUAGAACAAGGAAGCCACAUCUGUCAUAAUUGUUGGGUGGCUGCAGACAGGGCUGCUGUCCAUAUGGUCUCAGGCCCAUCAACUUCUUCCCGAGUUCUAACUGAGCCUCCUGCUAGCCAGCCUGGAGAAGAUAGAAACAACCAACCAGAACCUACUAUUGUAUUACCAGGAUAUAUGAGAGCUGUUCCUCUUUUUAAAGUAUUAUGUUCCUGAGAAUAAUCGUCUAUGUGAUAUUCAUUUAGUUAUUGAAGGCUGGGAUGUAAUGAUAAUUUAAAUGUUUUUCCCCAGCUAACCCACAGUGAACUAAUUCUCAUACCAUUAGGUAUUUAUCAAAUUGUUUCAAAAAUGUUGUUUGCUUUGUUAAAAAGCAGGCACGUUCAUAUUAUGGAGAGAAUGUAAGGGGUAAUGAUGGUUAUUUAAUAGAAGUGUGCAGGGAGGUCAGCAGUAGCCUACUUCGAGAGCUAUCGGCUUCAAAUAGCUCAUGGCUACUUCGGGGAUGCAUACAGUCUAGACAUAUAAGUCGAAAAACUUAUUUUGUUUAUGUUUUUGUUGACAGCUCUUGCAGAAGUAGAGAAGCAAUAUUGAAUGAUUAUUUCAAUUGCAUUGUAGGCAAAAGGGCUGUAGGCUUCUGCGCACAUGUUAUGUCAAUAAUAUGGUACCUUAGUUGGGCUAGGUACCAAGAAAAUAUAGUACCCCCUGCACAAUUCUUAGAUGAUAUAUUAAUUAUAAUUGAAAAUGAAUAAAAAUCAACUAAAUAAAGUGUUUUAUUUUAUCACUCUUUACCCUUGAUCCUUACUUACCUUACCCUCAUUAUUCGGCUCACUGCUGAGCUCGAGUCUACUCUCAGAAUGAGAGGGGUUAGGCCAAUAGUCCACCAUGCUGGCC
rnacentral:lncRNA from 1 species